rnacentral:rRNA from 1 species
GUACGUGCAUUGCCGGCAACAACAAUAGUUCAAAACACAUUCGGCAAGAUGAAUGAGCACUUUCUAAAGUACUCAAUUUAAAUUGAUAAGCAGAUUGCGGGUGAGAACAAGCACAAGUACAAGUACAAGUUCCCACCGAAGGUUGAUGAAUGGUUGGAAUUUCAAUCAUGGAAGGCGGACUCCCAACAAGCUAUAUUAUAUAACAACCAUGAUUGGAUGUACGAAGUGAAAGAGCCAUGAGGAACCACAAACGAUGGCCAACAAUACGGAGGUCGGGCUUUCAAGGUGUCGCUAACACGGUGCGAUUGCUCUUGUGGGAGGCCAUUAUUGCUUCAUCUCUCAUGCUCACACUUGUAUACCACAACUCACAUUAGGAAUGUGGAUGUUAAUCACCUGCUCACCAUGAGGCAGUCCGAGUUCUCCAUCGUGGCCACCAAGAAUACAUGGGCUCCUAGAUUUCACCCAUACUAUGACCAAUCACAAUGGCCGGAGUAUCAUGGAGUUCAACUAUGGCCCGGUCUGGAUUGGAAGGUCAUUAAACGGGGAAGUCGUAAGAAAGAAUGUCUUAGAGGCAAUAUGGACGGAUGGGGCCGUGGUGGUGGUCGAGAAUUUACCAACAACCAAUUCCAAGAGCCUCCUGAGAGAGCCCAUUGUGGAUAUUGCACCUAUGUAUCACCCAAAUUAUCUAUGUAUCAAUCUCUUCGAUGA